CCAGGCGAGAAUACUCCACAAUGCGCGAAAGCGUGAUGGGGGGAAUCUGAGUGGUUCACUUAGGUGAACCUUUUGCCAAGCCCAAACAGCUUGGCGAAUAAGUGCUGGGUAAGGCCGGUGGCAGCCGCCACGGUAAUACCGGCGGCACAAGUGGUGUCCACGAUUAUUGGGCUUAAAGGGCCAGUAGCCGGUCGGAUCCGUCUUACGUGAAAUGUUUACGCUUAACGUAAACGCCUGCGUGAGAUACCAUCCGACUAGGGAGCGGAAGAGGUCAAGGGUACUUAUGGGGUAGAGGUAAAAUUCUGUAAUCCUAUAAGGACCACCGGUGGCGAAGGCGCUUGACCAAGACGCAUCCGACGGUGAGUGGCGAAGGCUAGGAGAACGAAUCGGAUUAGAUACCCCCGUAGUCC
rnacentral:rRNA from 1 species